rnacentral:rRNA from 1 species
UACGUAGGGUGCGAGCGUUAAUCGGAAUUACUGGGCGUAAAGGGUGCGCAGGCGGCCGCGCAAGUCGAGUGUGAAAGCCCCGAGCUUAACUUGGGAAUUGCGCUCGAAACUACGUGGCUGGAGUGUGGCAGGGGAAGGUGGAAUUCCACGUGUAGCGGUGAAAUGCGUAGAGAUGUGGAGGAACACCGAUGGCGAAGGCAGCCUUCUGGGCCAACACUGACGCUCAUGCACGAAAGCGUGGGGAGCAAACAGG